UUGAAAGGGAAACGAUUGAAGUCAGUCGUACCUGCGGAUAAUCAACCUUUAGGAUGCGAUUUUGUGGAGCGUGAGGAGCUAAUCGUCUUCAUGCCUGUAUAUUUCGUGUACUUGGGGUGUACUUAUUCGUGCGGUAGGUUAACAUCAAUUUUGGUCGUUAUAAAAUGGCUGGAGGAAUGUAGCUUCGAUCUCGUAUUGAAGUGUUAUAGCCUUCGGUAGAUGUGAUGAUCGGGAUUGAGGAUUGCAACGGAUACCCUUCGGGGCUACCUGUCUGAUCUCUGAUCGUUGCUCUGGUGCCGAAAGCGUGCUUACGGUCAUCAAAGUCGAUGGUCAAUAGGUUAGAACGGGUUAAAUUCGUUAAGGAUGUUGACGUA
rnacentral:rRNA from 1 species